CCGUNACUGACGCUGAGGAGCGAAAGCGUGGGGAGCGANCAGGAUUAGAUACCCUGGUAGUCCACGCCGUAAACGUUGGGCACUAGGUGUGGGGGGCCUUUUCCGGGUNUUCCGCGCCGUAGCUAACGCAUUAAGUGCCCCGCCUGGGGAGUACGGCCGCAAGGCUAAAACUCAAAGGAAUUGACGGGGGCCCGCACAAGCGGCGGAGCAUGCGGAUUAAUUCGAUGCAGCGCGAAGUACCUUACCAAGGCUUGACAUGUGCCGGUCGGCUCCGGAGACGGGGUUUCCUCCUUGUGGGGCCGGUUCACAGGUGGUGCAUGGUUGUCGUCAGCUCGUGUCGUGAGAUGUUGGGUUAAGUCCCGCAACGAGCGCAACCCUUGUCUCGUGUUGCCAGCACGUUGUGGUGGGGACUCGCGGGAGACUGCCGGGGUCAACUCGGAGGAAGGUGGGGAUGACGUCAAAUCAUCAUGCCCCUUAUGUCUUGGGCUUCACGCAUGCUACAAUGGCCGGUACAGAGGGCUGCGAUACUGUGAGGUGGAGCGAAUCCCUUAAAGCCGGUCUCAGUUCGGAUCGGUNU
rnacentral:rRNA from 1 species